rnacentral:miRNA from 1 species
CGGGCAUGCUGGGAGAGACUUU